UUGAGGUGCAUUAUGUAUUAUAAUUUGAUAAAAUUUACGGUAAAAAUUAUAUAGUAAAAACUGUAAAUUAUCUGCUAUAUUUGUAGUAAAAACAAAAAAUUAUCAUAUUAUUAAAACUGAUGACUAGUAACAUUUUUUUAUAUAAAUUGUGGUAUAGUUUUUAAAAAAAUAAUUAAAGAUAUAAACAUAUAGAUAAAGGAUAAUUAUUAUAAUUGUAUGGAUAUUU
rnacentral:lncRNA from 1 species